GACCGGCGCACGGGUGCGUAACGCGUAUAGAAUCUGCCUUGUACUAGGGAAUAGCCCAGAGAAAUUUGGAUUAAUGCCCUAUAGUAUAUCGUUAUGGCAUCAUAACGAUAUUAAAGGUUACGGUACAAGAUGACUAUGCGUCCCAUUAGUUGGUUGGUGAGGUAACGGCUCACCAAGACUGCGAUGGGUAGGGGCCCUGAGAGGGGGAUCCCCCACACUGGUACUGAGACACGGACCAGACUCCUACGGGAGGCAGCAGUGAGGAAUAUUGGACAAUGGGCGGGAGCCUGAUCCAGCCAUGCCGCGUGCAGGAAGACGGUCCUAUGGAUUGUAAACUGCUUUUAUACGGGAAGAACCUGGGGCACGUGUGCCCUUCUGACGGUACCGUAAGAAUAAGGAUCGGCUAACUCCGUGCCAGCAGCCGCGGUAAUACGGAGGAUCCAAGCGUUAUCCGGAAUCAUUGGGUUUAAAGGGUCCGUAGGCGGGCCAUUAAGUCAGGGGUGAAAGUUUGCGGCUCAACCGUAAAAUUGCCCUUGAUACUGGUGGUCUUGAGUUAUAGUGAAGUGGCUAGAAUAUGUAGUGUAGCGGUGAAAUGCAUAGAUAUUACAUAGAAUACCGAUUGCGAAGGCAGGUCACUAACUAUACACUGACGCUGAUGGACGAAAGCGUGGGGAGCGAACAGGAUUAGAUACCCUGGUAGUCCACGCCGUAAACGAUGGAUACUAGCUGUUCGGGCGCAAGCCUGAGCGGCCAAGCGAAAGUGAUAAGUAUCCCACCUGGGGAGUACGUUCGCAAGAAUGAAACUCAAAGGAAUUGACG
rnacentral:rRNA from 1 species